UACGUAGGGUGCAAGCGUUGUCCGGAAUUAUUGGGCGUAAAGAGCUCGUAGGCGGUUUUGUCGCGUCUGCCGUGAAAGUCCGGGGCUCAACUCCGGAUCUGCGGUGGGUACGGGGCAGACUAGAGUGAUGUAGGGGAGACUGGAAUUCCUGGUGUAGCGGUGAAAUGCGCAGAUAUCAGGAGGAACACCGGUGGCGAAGGCGGGUCUCUGGGCCGUAACUGACGCUGAGGAGCGAAAGCGUGGGGGAGCGAACAGG
rnacentral:rRNA from 1 species